rnacentral:rRNA from 1 species
GAAGGUGGCCUGUGAGGGUUGCUGGAGGUAUCAGAAGUGCGAAUGCUGACAUAAGUAACGAUAAAGCGGGUGAAAAGCCCGCUCGCCGGAAGACCAAGGGUUCCUGUCCAACGUUAAUCGGGGCAGGGUGAGUCGACCCCUAAGGCGAGGCCGAAAGGCGUAGUCGAUGGGAAACGGGUUAAUAUUCCCGUACUUGGUGUUACUGCGAAGGGGGGACGGAGAAGGCUAUGUUGGCCGGGCGACGGUUGUCCCGGUUUAAGCGUGUAGGUGUGUGUUCCAGGUAAAUCCGGUUCACUUUAACACUGAGGCGUGAUGACGAGGCACUACGGUGCUGAAGCAACAAAUGCCCUGCUUCCAGGAAAAGCCUCUAAGCAUCAGGUAACAUCAAAUCGUACCCCAAACCGACACAGGUGGUCAGGUAGAGAAUACCAAGGCGCUUGAGAGAACUCGGGUGAAGGAACUAGGCAAAAUGGUGCCGUAACUUCGGGAGAAGGCACGCUGACACGUAGGUGAAGUGAUUUACUCAUGGAGCUGAAGUCAGUCGAAGAUACCAGCUGGCUGCAACUGUUUAUUAAAAACACAGCACUGUGCAAACACGAAAGUGGACGUAUACGGUGUGACGCCUGCCCGGUGCCGGAAGGUUAAUUGAUGGGGUCAGCGCAAGCGAAGCUCCUGAUCGAAGCCCCGGUAAACGGCGGCCGUAACUAUAACGGUCCUAAGGUAGCGAAAUUCCUUGUCGGGUAAGUUCCGACCUGCACGAAUGGCGUAAUGAUGGCCAGGCUGUCUCCACCCGAGACUCAGUGAAAUUGAACUCGCUGUGAAGAUGCAGUGUACCCGCGGCAAGACGGAAAGACCCCGUGAACCUUUACUAUAGCUUGACACUGAACAUUGAGCCUUGAUGUGUAGGAUAGGUGGGAGGCUUUGAAGUGUGGACGCCAGUCUGCAUGGAGCCGACCUUGAAAUACCACCCUUUAAUGUUUGAUGUUCUAACGUGGACCCGUUACCCGGGUUGCGGACAGUGUCUGGUGGGUAGUUUGACUGGGGCGGUCUCCUCCUAAAGAGUAACGGAGGAGCACGAAGGUUGGCUAAUCCUGGUCGGACAUCAGGAGGUUAGUGCAAUGGCAUAAGCCAGCUUGACUGCGAGCGUGACGGCGCGAGCAGGUGCGAAAGCAGGUCAUAGUGAUCCGGUGGUUCUGAAUGGAAGGGCCAUCGCUCAACGGAUAAAAGGUACUCCGGGGAUAACAGGCUGAUACCGCCCAAGAGUUCAUAUCGACGGCGGUGUUUGGCACCUCGAUGUCGGCUCAUCACAUCCUGGGGCUGAAGUAGGUCCCAAGGGUAUGGCUGUUCGCCAUUUAAAGUGGUACGCGAGCUGGGUUUAGAACGUCGUGAGACAGUUCGGUCCCUAUCUGCCGUGGGCGCUGGAGAACUGAGGGGGGCUGCUCCUAGUACGAGAGGACCGGAGUGGACGCAUCACUGGUGUUCGGGUUGUCAUGCCAAUGGCACUGCCCGGUAGCUAAAUGCGGAAGAGAUAAGUGCUGAAAGCAUCUAAGCACGAAACUUGCCCCGAGAUGAGUUCUCCCUGAGACUUUAGGUCUCCUGAAGGAACGUUGAAGACGACGACGUUGAUAGGCCGGGUGUGUAAGCGCAGCGAUGCGUUGAGCUAACCGGUACUAAUGAACCGUGAGGCUUAACCUUACAACGCCGAAG